rnacentral:rRNA from 1 species
CCCUUAGAUGUUCUGGGCCGCACGCGCGCUACACUGAUGAAUGCGACGAGCUCUACCCUUGACCGAAAGGCCCGGGUAAACUUGUGAAACUUCAUCGUGAUGGGGAUAGAUUAUUGCAAUUAUUAAUCUUCAACGAGGAAUUCCUAGUAAGCGCGAGUCAUCAGCUCGCGUUGAUUACGUCCCUGCCCUUUGUACACACCGCCCGUCGCUCCUACCGAUUGAAUGGUCCGGUGAAAUCUUCGGAUUGCUGACCAAGAUCCAGCAAUGGAGCUUGGUUGCGAGAAGUUGAUUAAACCUUAUUAUUUAGAGGAAGGAGAAGUCGUAACA